GGUGUUCGUACCAAUAACCAC
rnacentral:misc_RNA from 1 species